AAGUCGUAACAAGGUUUCCGUAGGUGACGCCCGCAAGUUCGCCUACCGAAACCCACAGCAGGCGACUCUAAACCACCUGCUCGCAGUCAGCCUCCGCGUUGGCGACGCCUUCAACCUGCACUGGGAGUCCUGUUCGACAGGGCCACCAGCGGCUCCCUAUCCCGGAGUUCACAGGUCAAACGUGGGCGGCCACUUCCACCGGUUGUGGUUCAGAUAUGAUCGGCCCUAGCCGGCGACGGCUAGCGAGUCUUCGCGGAACCUGCGGAAGGAUCAUUAUCGAGAGAGGGGCUUCACGCUCCCGGAGGCUUCGGCCUCCAACUCUUCACCCCAUGUCUAUCUACCUUUGUUGCUUUGGCGGGCCACGAGGCAUCAGUCCCCGCGCUGCCCCUGGACGAAACCGUCUGGGUGCGCGAGCGCCCGUCAGAGGCCCCACGAAACCCUUUUUAAUUAGUGAUGUCCGAGUAAAACCACAAUAGUAAAAACUUUCAACAACGGAUCUCUUGNUUCUGGCAUCGAUGAAGAACGCAGCGAAAUGCGAUAAGUAAUGUGAAUUGCAGAAUUCAGUGAAUCAUCGAAUCUUUGACGCACAUUGCGCCCCUCGUAUUCCGGGGGGCAUGCCUGUUCGAGCGUCAUUAAAUCCUCAAGCGCAGCUUGUCUUGGGUUUCGCCCCCGGGCGAUUCGAAAAUAGUGCGGUCCGGCGAGACUUUGAGCGUAGUAAUCAUCUCCGCUUUGAAAGCUCCCGUCGUGGCCCGCCAGAACAANCCAUUGACACAACAAUUGACCUCGGAUCAGGUAGGGAUACCCGCUGAACUUAAGCAUAUCAAUAAGCGGAGGAAAAGAAACCAACAGGGAUUGCCUCAGUAACGGCGAGUGAAGCGGCAACAGCUCAAAUUUGAAAUCUGGCUCUUUCAGAGUCCGAGUUGUAAUUUGUAGAGGGUGUUUCGGGCGCGACCCCGGUCUAAGUCCCUUGGAACAGGGCGUCAUAGAGGGUGAGAAUCCCGUAUGUGACCGGUGGCCAACCCCAUGUGAAACCCCUUCGACGAGUCGAGUUGUUUGGGAAUGCAGCUCAAAAUGGGUGGUAAAUUUCAUCUAAAGCUAAAUACCGGCCAGAGACCGAUAGCGCACAAGUAGAGUGAUCGAAAGAUGAAAAGCACUUUGGAAAGAGAGUCAAACAGUACGUGAAAUUGUUGAAAGGGAAGCGCUUGCAACCAGACCUGUCCGCGGGCGCUCAGCCUCCGUUUUCGGGGGUGCAUUCGUCCGCGAUCAGGCCAGUAUCGGUUCGGGCGGCGGGAUAAAGGCCUUGGGAAUGUAGCUCCCCUCGGGGAGUGUUAUAGCCCUCGGUGUAAUGCCGCCAGCCCGGACCGAGGACCGCGCUUCGGCUAGGAUACUGGCGUAAUGGUUGUAAGCGACC
rnacentral:rRNA from 1 species